rnacentral:rRNA from 1 species
CCCUUCGGGGACAAAGUGACAGGUGGUGCAUGGUUGUCGUCAGCUCGUGUCGUGAGAUGUUGGGUUAAGUCCCGCAACGAGCGCAACCCUUGAUUUUAGUUGCCAGCAUUUAGUUGGGCACUCUAAAGUGACUGCCGGUGCAAGCCGGAGGAAGGUGGGGAUGACGUCAAAUCAUCAUGCCCCUUAUGACCUGGGCUACACACGUGCUACAAUGGAUAGUACAAAGGGUCGCGAAGCCGCGAGGUGGAGCUAAUCCCAUAAAACUAUUCUCAGUUCGGAUUGUAGGCUGCAACUCGCCUACAUGAAGCCGGAAUCGCUAGUAAUCGUGGAUCAGC